rnacentral:rRNA from 1 species
GACGAACGCUGGCGGCGUGCUUAACACAUGCAAGUCGAACGAAGAGCGAUGGAAGCUUGCUUCUAUCACUCUUAGUGGCGAACGGGUGAGUAACGCGUAAUCAACCUGCCCUUCAGAGGGGGACAACAGUUGGAAACGACUGCUAAUACCGCAUACGAUCAAACCUCGGCAUCGAGGAAAGAUGAAAGGUGGCCUCUAUGUAUAAGCUAUCACUGCAGGAGGGGAUUGAGUCUGAUUAGCUAGAUGGAAGGGAAACGGCCCAUCAAGGCGAGGCACAGAAGCCGGUCGGAUAGGAUGGACGACCAAAUUGGGAAUGAGACACGGCCCAGACACCUACGGGAGGCAGCAGUGGGGAAUCUUCCGCAAUGGACGAAAGUCUGACGGAGCAACGCCGCGUGAGUGAUGACGGCCUGCGGGUUGUAAAGCUCUGUUAAUCGGGACGAAAGGCCUUCUUGCGAAUAGUGAGAAGGAUUGACGGUACCGGAAGAGAAAGCCACGGCUAACUACGUG